GGCAAAGUCGUCCUGUUCAGCCGAGAUACCAAGGGCGGGGAAUGGAGACGCAGAUCAGAGCUGUUAGGAGAGCAGAUUGGCUCGUAUUUCGGGGGAACACUGUGCGCUGUGGACCUCGACAGAGAUGGGAACACAGACCUGGUUCUAGUUGGAGCCCCCAUGUACUAUACACCUCUGAAUGGAGGGCGGGUCUAUAUCUGCCUGAUUAACUGGCCGGGGAUGACACUGAUCUGCACCGAGACACUGCAAGGACAGACGGGGCA